UGUGGGUGUGUCUUUCUCUAUCUUUUAGGAAAUCAGUAGGUUGUUUUGCAUCUGGUAGUUGAGAGAACUCUGACACUGGGUUCUUUCACUUGCCUACAAUGGCCUGGUUUUUUGUUGCUAAUUCUUUUUAAAAAGAAAAGCUUUUUUAAAAUUGGUUUAUUGGUAAAAUGCCUGCGGUGCAUUCAUCUCCUGUUUGGAUCUACUUUUUGCCCGACUUGCUACAAGGACUUUACUCAGAGGGAAACAUCUUGGAACUUAACCACUUGUUCAGAGGAGAUUAUCUAAUAUGCUAUAAAAUGUCUGCAGAGCCUGUAUACAGUGGAGGAGCUGUAUGAGACAGGAUUUGCUCAUACAGCUCAGUUUCCACAAAGACAUGGCCUCAAAUUGCUGUUCUGGUUUCUAGAUCACAUCAGACUUUUUGACUACAAUCUUGAUGAACUCUGGAGGAAGCAUAAAACAAACUUUGGUUUUCACAUCUUCGAGAACCGAGAGCAACUCCUGCCUGAUGAUGGCCUCAUCUAUUACACGUUGGGAAAUCUAAACAGAGCUGGAGCAGAAAACCUGCCUGAAGACAUCCGGGUAUAUUACACUGGCCAGCGUGAUACCAGUAACAUGGAUCGUGUUAUAGUCGGAGUGGAUGAUGAUGGGCGUGUUCGUGAAGUUUAUAUAACUGCACACUAUAAACAAAAUGAAACGUACCACAUCAGUGAGAGCCUCUGGAUGAAUAUCAGCCACCAGCUCAGAGAAACCUUACGACCAUGAAUGACGUAUUUCAAAACUUCUGAAUCCUCCAGUAAGCAGCAUUGGGGCCAUUAUCCACAAGUGGAAGCAACAUCACUCUGUCGUCAACCGGCCACGCACAGGAAGAUUUCUAACCAGGGAGUCAGAAGAAUAGUCAGAAGAGUAGCCCAAGAGCCAAGGACCACUCGGAAAAAGCUCCAGAAACACUUGGAGGUAGCAGGUGCCGUCGUCACAGAGAAAACAAUAGACAAUGCACUCCACUGCUCACGCACAUCCCACAAGACUUGUAUCGAUAUUGCUUUGGCAAUGUGUUAACAGUUGAUUGAAGGUGUUAGAUCAUAAUAAUUCAGGAAAACUCUGUAAAAUAAGUGUUGCUCUGCAAAACGGUUAAUGAAAAUUUAUGCAAAUGUAUUGUUUUUGCAAAUUAUAUUAAUUAUUAUGGUAUUUAACUUUAAUUUCACAGUUUUUGUUUGGCAGCCAUUGCUGCCAGUGA